CAUGAGCUCUUCUUCCCGCCUCAGCGGACAGCUUCUCGGCGGCUGCUGGCGAGCUUGGGAGUUGUGGGUGUAUGCCUAUUUUCCCAGGCUUGCCCCAGUACCUGAUAUGGAGACCCCACUCGGUGUCCCCUUUUCUCAUCGCUUUGACGUGCGAUGCGUGCGGAGACCGCAAGAGUCUUUUAUUUUCUUCCGCUGCUACUACGACACCAUCACCGCCGCGGGGAUCACCUGGCAGCCCUGGGCUCCGUUGCCGGCCGU